UGGGGAAUAUUGCGCAAUGGGCGGAAGCCUGACGCAGCGACGCCGCGUGGGGGAUGAAGGCCUUCGGGUUGUAAACCUCUUUUACCACUCACGCAGGCCUUGGGUUUUCCUGGGGUUGACGGUAGGUGGUGAAUAAGGACCGGCUAACUACGUGCCAGCAGCCGCGGUAAUACGUAGGGUCCGAGCGUUGUCCGGAAUUAUUGGGCGUAAAGGGCGCGUAGGCGGCUCAUGAAGGCUGUGGUGAAAGUCCGGGGCUCAACCUCGGAUCGGCCGUGGCGACUCGUGGGCUGGAGCACUGUAGAGGCGGGUGGAAUUCCGGGUGUAGCGGUGGAAUGCGUAGAGAUCCGGAAGAACACCAGUGGCGAAGGCGGCCCGCUGGGCAGUGGCUGACGCUGAAGCGCGACAGCGUGGGGAGCAAACAGGAUUAGAUACC
rnacentral:rRNA from 1 species